UACGUAGGUCCCGAGCGUUGUCCGGAUUUAUUGGGCGUAAAGCGAGCGCAGGUGGUUUAUUAAGUCUGGUGUAAAAGGCAGUGGCUCAACCAUUGUAUGCAUUGGAAACUGGUAGACUUGAGUGCAGGAGAGGAGAGUGGAAUUCCAUGUGUAGCGGUGGAAUGCGUAGAUAUAUGGAGGAACACCGGUGGCGAAAGCGGCUCUCUGGUCUGUAACUGACGCUGAGGCUCGAAAGCGUGGGUAGCAAACAGG
rnacentral:rRNA from 1 species